rnacentral:rRNA from 1 species
AUUGAACGCUGGCGGCAGGCUUAACACAUGCAAGUCGAGCGGAUGAAGAGAGCUUGCUCUCUGAUUCAGCGGCGGACGGGUGAGUAAUGCCUAGGAAUCUGCCUGGUAGUGGGGGACAACGGUUCGAAAGGAACGCUAAUACCGCAUACGUCCUACGGGAGAAAGGGGGGGAUCUUCGGACCUUACGCUAUCAGAUGAGACUAGGUCUGAUUAGCUAGUUGGUGAGGUAAAGGCUUACCAAGGCGACGAUCGUUAACUGGUCUGAGAGGAUGAUCAGUCACACUGGAACUGAGACACGGUCCAGACUCCUACGGGAGGCAGCAGUGGGGAAUAUUGGACAAUGGGCGAAAGCCUGAUCCAGCCAUGCCGCGUGUGUGAAGAAGGUCUUCGGAUUGUAAAGCACUUUAAGUUGGGAGGAAGGGCAGUAAGUUAAUACCUUGCUGUUUUGACGUUACCGACAGAAUAAGCACCGGCUAACUUCGUGCCAGCAGCCGCAGUAAGAC